ACGGGAGGCAGCAGUGAGGAAUAUUGGUCAAUGGGCGGAAGCCUGAACCAGCCAGGUCGCGUGAAGGAAGAAGGUAUUAUGUAUUGUAAACUUCUUUAGCAGCAGAGAAAUAAGGGAGUCGUGACUCCUGAUGCUAGUAUGCUGAGAAUAAGCAUCGGCUAACUCCGUGCCAGCAGCCGCGGUAAUACGGAGGAUGCGAGCGUUAUCCGGAUUUAUUGGGUUUAAAGGGUGCGCAGGCGGUCUUUUAAGUCAGUGGUCAAAGCGUGGUGCUCAACGCCAUCCCGCCAUUGAUACUGGGGGACUUGAGUGCGGUUGAGGUAGGCGGAAUUCGUCGUGUAGCGGUGAAAUGCAUAGAUAUGACGAAGAACACCGAUUGCGUAGGCAGCUUACCAAGCCGUAAAUGACGCUCAUGCACGAAAGUGCGGGGAUCGAACAGGAUUAGAUACCCUGGUA
rnacentral:rRNA from 1 species